rnacentral:rRNA from 1 species
UACGUAGGGACCAAGCGUUGUCCGGAAUCAUUGGGCGUAAAGCGCGCGUAGGUGGCCAUUUAAGUCCGCUGUGAAAGUCAGAGGCUCAACCUUUGAAAGCCGGUGGAUACUGGAUGGCUAGAGUACGGAAGAGGCGAGUGGAAUUCCUGGUGUAGCGGUGGAAUGCGCAGAUAUCAGGAGGAACACCAAUAGCGAAGGCAGCUCGCUGGGACGUUACUGACACUAAGGCGCGAAAGCGUGGGGAUCAAACAGG